rnacentral:misc_RNA from 2 species
AACGCACCUUGCGCUCCUUGGUAUUCCGAGGAGCAUGCCUGUUUGAGUGUCAUUAAUAUAUCAACCUCUUCAACUUUUGUUUGUCGAGUGUUGGAUUUGGGGGUCCUUUUUUGCUGGCCUUCUCAAGGUCAGCUCCCCUGAAAUGUAUUAGCAGAACAUUUUGUGGAUCGUUCAUUGGUGUGAUAACUAUCUACGCUAUUGACGUGAAACAGUUCAGCUUCUAACAGUCCAUUGACUUGGACAAAUUUUCAUUAAUGUGACCUCAAAUCAGGUAGGACUACCCGCUGAACUUAA